rnacentral:miRNA from 1 species
UGGUAAUCAUGAGUGAGAGAGAGAGAGAGAGAGAGAGAAGGGGUUGGCUGGAGAAUAUUGCAGUUGAGUGAAAAGAACCAUUGUUGAGGGGGUCAUAACUAUGUGCUGUCUGCACUGUGUGUAUCUUUGGGGAAAGGAAGGAAAUAACCUUAAAUUCUGUGGCCCCUGUCAUCUGAAUUUAGCAACAUUUGCACCACAGAGGGUUGAAAAUCUAAGGCAAUUUGUAUCAUCAUGCUCUCUCUCUCUCUCUCUCUCUCUCUCUCUCUCUCUCUCUCUCUCUCUCUCUCU